CAAGUCGAACGGCUCUUCGGAGCAGUGGCGGACGGGUGAGUAACGCGUGGGAACGUGCCCUUUGGUUCGGAACAACACAGGGAAACUUGUGCUAAUACCGGAUGAGCCCUUCGGGGGAAAGAUUUAUCGCCAUUGGAGCGGCCCGCGUUGGAUUAGGUAGUUGGUGGGGUAAAGGCCCACCAAGCCGACGAUCCAUAGCUGGUCUGAGAGGAUGAUCAGCCACACUGGGACUGAGACACGGCCCAGACUCCUACGGGAGGCAGCAGUGGGGAAUCUUGCGCAAUGGGCGAAAGCCUGACGCAGCCAUGCCGCGUGAAUGAUGAAGGUCUUAGGAUUGUAAAAUUCUUUCACCGGGGAAGAUAAUGACGGUACCCGGAGAAGAAGCCCCGGCUAACUUCGUGCCAGCAGCCGCGGUAAUACGAAGGGGGCUAGCGUUGCUCGGAAUUACUGGGCGUAAAGGACGCGUAGGCGGACAGUUUAGUCAGAGGUAAAAGCCCAGGGCUCAACCUUGGAACUGCCUUUGAUACUGGCUGUCUUGAGUUCGGGAGAGGUGAGUGGAAUGCCGAGUGUAGAGGUGAAUUCGUAGAUAUUCGGCGGAACACCAGUGGCGAAGGCGACUCACUGCCCGAUACUGACGCUGA
rnacentral:rRNA from 1 species